ensembl:misc_RNA 7SK 7SK RNA
AGGUAUGGAUUGUCAAUUAUCAAUGGCUGUCACCCAUUGAUAGCCAGGGUUGAUUCGGCUGAUCUAGAUGGCUUGGCAGGUGUCCCCUUCCUCCCUCACCACCCCACGUGCAUCCCUCCCGAAGCUGUGUGCUCAGUGGGAGAAGAGGACCACUCCCAACAGAGGAGGACCGUUUCCUCAGUCAAGGGGAUAGCUGCAGUCCCCCGCUGGAACCUCCAAACAGGCUCUCAAAGGUAUAGAUUGUGAUGGUUGAUUUAAAUGUCAACUUUGGGUAAAGCUUCAGACAGUUUGGACGUUGCUCU